GAAAGGGAGCAGUUCUGACAGGCAGAUGGCUUAGCUCCUCCGUGCCAGGACUGUGCCCACUUCCCUCCCUCCACCCACCCACAACUCACCCCACUCUUGGCUCAGCCCAUCUGUGGACUGGCCUUGGGGGAUGAAUGUGCACCCACCUGGGCUGACUGGGGGACGCCGCGACAGAGUCCAUUUUGUUCUGAGUCAGAGGUCCGUCAGAGCCUGAAACACUCUCAGAAAUACAGAAACCACCCACGCUCAUCCAAGGAGCUGCCCCUCUAAAGGUAAGUGAAGGCUUCUUUUUUUUUUUUCUUUUCCUCUAUCAAACACUCUUGGCUUUCCGUGGGCAGUUGCCAUGGCUACGGUAAAGUAAGCGACCACCUGUGGGCUUGCUUCUGAUGUGAAAGCAGAAAAAAGGCAAAAAGAGACAAAUCAACAGACUGCAAACUGAUUGACUGAGCGUAGCCUGGAAUAAAUCCAACAUUUCAGAUCCUCUGAUGUUUUCGGGGCAUUCACGCAGGCAGAUAAAAACAUCUUGAUUCAGCAGAAAGAAAAGUCUCUGCAUCAGUAAGAUAGGGACUUGGUCACAGUGGGUGUAGGCAGAUUUUAGAUCGGGUCAGAGUAGCCAAAAAACCCCAAAGCAAGUCGCUCCAUGGACUCCUCUCCUGCUGGACAUCAAUCUUCACAGCUGCUGUCAAAGCAAAGAGCAGAUUUGAUUUCUCUACUGAGCAGAACUCGACCCUUGACCCCCCCACCAAGCCUGGGUAGCCCCAAGUUGUUGCUAUGGUUACUGUAAAGCUGGUGGUGGAGGGAGGUGCAGCCCUGCAGGACGCAGAGCUGCUGUGAGCAUUAAAGGAAUAGAUAUAAAUUUCUUCAAGCCCCACAUCGUGUAAUUGAAUAUAGUGAAGAAACCUGCCCCUGUCAAUAAAUUACCUAUUUAUUUCUGGCCUUGAACAAGGUGACUCUCUGUUAUACAAGCCAGCUCCCUGUGCAGAAAGAUGCUCUGAGAUCCUGCUUGAAAACACAGUCAUGUCUCAGCACUCUCCACUCGUGUGUGUGUGUGUAUGUGUGUGUGGGUGUGUACUGUAUGUGUACGUACACGUGUCCAAGUGUGUGUUGACUUGUUGCCAGUGGGUUUCUUCGUGCCAGCACCGCAGUCUGGUGAGGCAGAGCGGCAUGUCGGCUGCACAGCUGCGCACGGGCAGCUCCCAUUGGUCGGGGUUAACGAGGUAGAGAGCACAUCUGCAUCAGAGCGGACACGGAUGAGUGAGGCCGCAGCAGAAGCUGUCAUGCUCUCUCUGUGUCCGACUUGCCUGCGUGUGUUUUUGUGUCAGCAAGAGGUGCUUGACAGUGGAUUUAUUUUGUGUCAACAAGGGUGUCAGUAUGCCACUGAAAGAAAACUCUGAUUUAUUCUAGAGCUGGACCAUUUGCAUCAGUCCCCUAAAGCAUUUACUGCAUGUUUGUAGAUUUGUACAAGUAAUUGAGAAGUCUAUACACCUCAGUGAUUAAAGCUCCUGUCAGGAGUUUUUGACAGGUUUUAAAAACAGAUUUUUUUUAUCCUUUCCUUUGAAGUAACAAUCACCAUAUUAAUCAUUUUGCACUGCAGACGCAGUAGUUCUUCUGCCUCUCGGUCUGAUUGCAUUUCCAUGAAGAAAUGGUUUGUGCUCACAUCCUCAUUUUUUCCAUGAAGUUCCAUAUUUUAAAGUUAUUAGGGGUCAUAAAACAGGAAAAACUACAUUUUCUUUAUAAGUGACACUUGCAUGUGGUCAAUGGCUAUACAAAGAUCGUGUAGGACAUCCAAGAGUUACGCUAUUCAAGCAGAGUAUCAUCACAGCAAUUCUCUCACUGAAUGCUACUGUGCAAAUGCUGGUUUCAGAAAAUGGAGAAAAUUCCCAGAAAUACAGAGAGUAUUUUGGCUUCAUAUUCAUUCAAUGACAGGAGGCAGAGUCAUGUUGUCUAAAUUAUAUACAGUCUAUGGUAUGUAUCUGGUUUCAGGUACCUUAGCAGCCACCAUCAAGCAGGAACUUGAUGAACAACUCCACAUUGGCUUUCUCUCUCAAGACUGAAGACACUUGGUGGAAUUGUAAUGGUGCAACCAAACCAUUAUGCAACUAAACUUACAAACUAGUUUAAAUAUAGUAGUUUUGUGUGAAUUUCACAUUGUAACUCAUAACAAUCUAUACAGGGCUAGUAUAGCAGGUCACACUGUUCAUUCUUUUAAUCAGGGGGAAUCAGACAGUUCUGAUAUGCCCGCUUCAAAUCACAUCUUGGAUCCCUCAACUGAAAAGCAGCAUCUGUCAUAAUAUGUCAUGUGAUGCAUAAGCCUAUAUGCCAGCACUCCAAAAGAAACCAGGAUCUUGUGGCAGGGGGAUCUCCUGCACACCAAAAUGGACUGCAUGUGUGCACGUGAGUCCUCAUUUUAAGUUACGUAAGACUCAGUCAGUGGAACAAAAUAUAAUCAUAAAUGAUGCAAUGAUGGCCUACAUACUGAAAUGGUAGACUGUCUGACACUGAUGUGGAGGAUUGCUCUCAUUGUGAUCGGAUGAAAAAGUGGAACACUAAAAGCAGUGAAAGAAGUGUUUUUUAUGAUCAGAAACAGGAGUAAUUUUAGAAGACAGGAUUUAAUCUACUGUAAAUGUGAAACUAAUGCUGGAGAGUCUCCUUGAAAAAUAAAAUCCCUACAUUUAUCAGUGGACAGUUAAAACAACAUGAGUUUUUAAACAAGGGGUCCCUCUUCAGGUGAGGUGAUUCAGUUUAAAACAAAUAUCUGCAGUCUUAUCACAACAAAGCAUGUUGACAUGCAAGAGCAAUUCAUUCUGGGAAUAAAUAUGUAUCCUCCAUGAGCAGCAAGAGAAAACACUGUUACCUCUUCCUGCUCAUGGGAUUUGAUCAGUUUCAUGAUAGAGAAAUGUAUACGAACGACUGUAUGAAAUAAAUGUAUGUAGCCACUGUGGAGUUAAGUGUUUGUGAGCAUUUAUUUUGAACACUGAAUUUUGCAUGUUUGUCUUGGCCAUCAUGUUUUCUUUUGAAGCAGAGCUGAUCAGGAUAUGAGCAAGGAUUGGCAUUUUCUAUCUAUGUCCUGGUUGACUUGGCAUGAUGGUUCUUACUUUCCAAGCUAAGCUAAUUUCAACAACUGGCUCUCUUUUUCAAAUAAUAAUAUAGUAAGAAAAAUAAUAGCAACACGAUUAAAAAUUAAGAAGAAUCGAGAAUUAUUGAUUGGUUACAUAAUUUGAGGUAUGAUGGAGGUUUUAAAGUAGGGUAACAUUUUUUCCAAGUUCUAAAACAGAUUAUUUAUGUAAUGCUAAAUGGGAACAUAAGUGUCUCAAUGAAGAAAAGGCCGUAUUGACCAUGACUUUAAACUAUAAAUGAGGCCAGUAAAUCCAUUAAGAAAGCACCACCUGAAGUAAUCACUCAAAUGUGAAGUGUUUCUUUUUUUUAUAUUGUUACAUACAAACGGGUUUCUUGUUGCAACUACUGUAAGUGGCUACCUGUUUAAAUACACAAGUGCAAAAGACUACAUAUCCUUUAGUGUCUACUUGAGGCUGGCUUUGAAGACCAAGGAAACCCAAUCUGCAUCCAUGCCAAGGUGACUGUUUUUAUGACUGCUGAAUAUAACAAAUUUACAGCAUGGUACAAAGAUGACUUCAACUGUUUUGAUUAUAUCAAGAACAGAAGUUAUCCUAGACUGUGGUCACAGCCAUGGAGCAUCACCUAUUGGUUUAGAUGUGUUUGGGUUGCCAGAUCUGCUCAUUGUCCAGCGCCUGUUGAAGAUGUCAAGUCCACUUGGACAAGCUACAUUGUGCUCCAUUUAAUAAGUCAAAUGUGCUCAGUUAAAUGCCCCUACGCGGUUUUCUUUAGUUCUGCUCAGUUCAUUCAAUUGACCUCAAAAUUUUCUCUCCAUAUAAUACAGAUAAUUACAACUUACUGUA
rnacentral:lncRNA from 1 species